ACAGCAAUUUUUUAAGAGACGUGCAUCAAAAUAAUCUUUUUCAUAUUUUUUUUCUUUCAUUAUAAGAAAUUUCAAAAAUUGUGACACUUAGGUUACGGCGGUUGUAGGAAAACCGUCUUUGGUCUCAAAUUGCGACGGUUUCUGCGACAGUUUUUAUCAAGUGCCGCCGUUUUUGCAUCCUGCUCCAAAAACUCCCUAAUUCCCAAAUGUGAUUCAGUUUCCUCCUAAACCCUCAGCGCUCAAAUUGACAGAACUUCUUUCAUUCUCCCCAUUCGCGACCACCCUCCAUCUCAGAUUUCUCCUCAUUUGUGACCUCACUUCAUCUCAAAUUUUUUCCUUGCAGCCUUCCUCCGUCUCAACUUGCUCUGUCGUCUUCAAUCGCGACGCUACAAUCUCUCUGGCGUGGGACUACUUUCUACCUCUCCGGUGAUGGCACGACGCAACACUUUUCCAUCAACGACUGGUGGGUAUGAUAUUGAGUGGUGGGUAUGAUAUUGAAUGGUGGGUUCCAUCAAAGUUGGCUUUGUGUUUGUUGUUUUUGUGCUAUGUGUUUGUUUUUUUGGUUCCUUAUAUUUAAGUUGGUUCUGCUUUUGAAAUAAUUAAUGGUUAUAGGAAAUAGGAAUUUUUCCA